CCCUUAGAUGUUCUGGGCCGCACGCGCGCUACACUGACAGAGCCAGCGAGUCCUCCCUUGGCCGGAAGGCCCGGGUAAUCUUGGUAAACUCUGUCGUGCUGGGGAUAGGGCAUUGCAAUUAUUGCCCUUCAACGAGGAAUCCCUAGUAAGCGCAAGUCAUCAGCUUGCGUUGAUUACGUCCCUGCCCUUUGUACACACCGCCCGUCGCUACUACCGAUUGAACGGCUCAGUGAGGCUUUCGGACUGGCCCCAGGAGGUCGGCAACGACCACCCAGGGCCGGAAAGUUAUCCAAACUCGGUCGUUUAGAGGAAGUAAAAGUCGUAACA
rnacentral:rRNA from 1 species